rnacentral:rRNA from 1 species
UACGGGGGGAGCAAGCGUUGUUCGGAUUUACUGGGCGUAAAGGGCGGGUAGGCGGCCACCGCAAGUCGACUGUGAAAUCUCCGGGCUUAACCCGGAAAGGUCAGCCGAUACUGCGGGGCUAGAGUGCAGAAGGGGCAACUGGAAUUCUCGGUGUAGCGGUGAAAUGCGCAGAUAUCAGGAGGAACACCGGUGGCGAAGGCGGGUCUCUGGGCCGAUACUGACGCUGAGGAGCGAAAGCGUGGGGAGCGAACAGG